rnacentral:rRNA from 1 species
UACGAAGGGGGCUAGCGUUGCUCGGAAUCACUGGGCGUAAAGCGCGCGCAGGCGGUUCGUUAAGUCUGAUGGUAAAGCCCGGGGCUCAACCCCCGGUAUUCAUUGGAAACUGGCAAACUGGAGUGCAGGAGAGGGAAGCGGAAUUCCACGUGUAGCGGUGAAAAUGCGUAGAGAUGUGGAGGAACACCAGUGGCGAAGGCGGCUUCCUGGCCUGUAACUGACGCUGAGGCGCGAAAAGCGUGGGGAGCAAACAGG